AGUGUGGGGAAGUGAGGAAGUCACGAGUAAAUGUAUAAAGAUCAGAUGAAGUUCCUAAUGACUGGACACAGCAAUGUCAAGGACCAACGCCUCAGACCCGUGAGAAAUUAACAAGACUGUUCUUAGCAAUAGAAAACAAACAAGGACAGAAAUUGGUACCAGGAUCCUGAUCAUGCUAUUCUGGGGAGGACUAUGGAAGUGUUUGGAACUCAGAACUUAAUGGGCAUCUCUCUGGGAAUUUGGAAGAGAAGAAUGUUGGGAAAGAAAUGCAGAUGAUGGAGGCCUGACUUACGAAGUUUCGAGGCUCGAAGAGGUCAUGGAGAACAGCCAAGGUUUGGCACCAUAUGGCAGGGUCAGAGUUCCUAAAGAGAGACCACUGGUGAAGAAACAGAUUAACUGCAGUGGAGACACCAGCAUACCAGAGAUGCCCAGUGUGUGAUGUGACCACCAAGGACAGCAGCAGGUGUGGAAUAAAGCUGGCCUGAACCUAUGAGGCAGGCUGUGUGUCCGGUGGAUGGCAGAGGUGGUCAAGUGGAGCUCCCAAGCAUAUUGGAGCUGAGACAAUCAUUAGUGAAUUCCAAAUGUUAGUUUAUAAGUUUUAAACACUGUUGCAAUUUGGUUUUUAUUUGAUUGUGGCUGUGCCCUAGUUCUUCCCUCUUGGAAUAAGGAAGUAUGUAACUUAUUUUUUAUUUUAUAGGAGUCUACAGUUGAGAGACUUUGGAUAUUGUAAAAGAGAACUUGGAAUUUUGAAGUGUUUGAAUGUUUAAGGACUUAAAAAAUUAUCCUUUAUAUCAUUGGUAACAUAAUUUUGGGGGCAAACAAGAAAGGAGAGGUUUAAUAGUGAUGUUUUUUUGUGUGAAGCUGAGAAAGGAUCAGUUUUGCUGGUUUGUCUUUUUUGUUCAACUUGACAUAGGCUAGGAUAAUCUGUGGAGAGGGAACCUCAGUUGAGAAAAUGCCCAUAUCAGAUUUGCAGGUAUGUGAGCCUAUGGGACGUUGUCUUGAUUGUGAUUGAUGUGGGAGGGCUCAACCCAUAGGUGGUGCUAUCACCCCUGGCAAAUAUCCCUGGAUGGUAUAAGAAAGGAAGCUGAGAAGGGCAUGGGGAGCAAGCUAGUAAGCAGCACUCCUCCAUGGUCUUUGCUUUGGUUCCUGCCUCCAGAUCCUGCCCUGAGUCUCUGUCCUAGCUUCCUCCCAUGACGGACAGUUAUAAGGUGAAUAACAGAAUACUUCCCGCCUCCACAGGUGCUUGCUUUUGCUCAUGGUAUUUAUCACAGCAAUAAGAAACUGAACUAGGACAUGGCCCCUGAGGUGUUGAUGGCUUGAACUCCAGGGUAAUGCUGUAGGAGGUGGUGGAUUUUGAGGGAGAGAGCAGAGACUGAGGGAGGUGGGCCUAGUUGGACCAAAACUCAAAAUCCUAAGUUUACAUUGAAAGUUAUGGUUGAAAACUCUGAGUUGAAGCAUCGUGAGAAGAUUUGGCCUAGGUCUUUGGCCACUGGGUAUGUUCCUUUGAAGGAGAUUAUGGAACCAUGGCCUUCAUUACUCUCUGUUGCUCUGUGGCUUGUGAUAUGAAUGGUUCGCUCCACUAUGUACUACAACAAUGGCUGCUCAGAGAGACCCAAAGCAAUGGACUGUCAAGUGGAAUGUGUAGACCCUUAAGUCCAAACAAAGUUCUUCUCUUUGUAUAUUAUCACAGGGAUGUUGUUCUAGUGAUGGGAAGCUCACUGACAAUUUGUUGCCUUUUAUUUUUCCUUACAUUAGGGCAUUGCAUAGACUUUACUCCAAAACAGCAAGUAACACUGAGUAAUUUCAUUCAGUACAACAAUAAGUCUAUUGUGUAGAUGAUUCCUGACUUAGGAUGGGGCUGUGUGUUCGUAAGUCCAUUACAAGUUAGAAAAUCCAUAAAGGAAUCUCCAUACCUCUACCCUGCUGUGUACCCUGACUUAACAACACAGCACACUACACAGUGCAGAGUUCUGCCCGAUUGCAAGGUUGACAGGGAGCUAUGCUGGAUACCACCCCAGCAUCGUGAGAGAGGCACACUGUGCAUUUUAGGUCAAGAAAAGACCAAACUCAAAAUCCUAGGUGUGGUUUCUACUGAAUGUGUCUCUACGUUGUUGUAAGGUUGAAAACUCUGAGUUGAAGCGUUGUGAGUGGGGCCUGUUGGUGAUCAUUGCCAAACGUUGUUCUGAGUCCUGUGUUCAGGGAGCUACAUGGCUCCUCUGUUCUCUUGUCAGCUGACUGUGUGUUUUUAUAACUCACCCAUUUGCUCUGAGCCAGAAUGAAAUGCUCUGUGCUAGGCUCUCAGAGAGUUCCCCUUGGGGGCCAUCUGAAGGUCACAGGGAGUCCCAUUAGAGACUGCCUAUGGGCACAGCAGCCUGCUUCCUGUAGCCUGACGAAGAACCAGGAACUAGAUUAUUAUGAGGCCAAAGGACCCAGAAUAUAUUCCCUUGGAGAAAGUAGGUGACCGCCGUUUGUGUGAACUGUUAAGAAAAUAUGUGUGUUCUAUUUAAAAGACCCUAAAGGAAUUGCUAAAGGCUUGCCCACUCAGCCUUGCUGUAACUGGAUUAUUCUACCAGCUACAACGUUUGCCUCGAUUUUCUUUCUCCUCUGUCACAUGCCUGGCCUGGGGAAGACAGGAGGGUUCUCGAAUGUUGGAGGUGGCAGCAGCAGCUGGAAGCAAGCAGAGAGCUCUUUCAUAGAACUGAGCACAGGGCAGGCCCUUGUGUGGGGAGGUAAAGAAAAGCUGUAUACAUUGCUAAGCACCAGGAGAUUGGAUGCAUGUAGUUACACUGCUGAGGGAAAGGAGGAAGGGGGGAUAAGGUGGGGCCUCCACUUACAGCCCACAACACAUUUUAUCCCAUUUUGAGGCUACUGGAGUGCCCCUCAGUUACUACAUUUAGUGGCUUUUAUCAUAGGAUCAUAGGGUGACUUGGAGUGACUUGGGGGCUUGGGUCUUUAAGAAUCUGCCAAGUAUCACUUUAAGAAAUUGCUUCCAGCUGUAACAGGUGGCAGGCGCAGCAUUUGGUGAUGGGGCACCAGGAAGCGCACAGUUUGAGCAGGUGCAGAUCAUCAGAAGACGGCUCACACUGGCCAAGGAAGUUCCUGUACUGAACUGAGUCAGAAACCUCUGGAUAUGAUUAGAUCCCAGAAGUUCCUCCUUGUAAAAGGCAUUCAGGCACUCCAUGAGUUUGAAAUGGCUCUUACCUUCAAGGGGCUCUGGCUGGUCCUCAGUGGAUGUGCCUACCUUGGUUACUUUUCUGUUGCUGUGGUAAAACCCCAUGGCCAAUACAACUUAGACAAGAAAGUGAGUAAUUUGGCUUACUAUUUCAGAGUGUUAGAGUCUAUAAUUCAAAGGGGAAGCUCACAUCGUGAUCCACAGCCAUGAGACAGAUCAAGAGUACUGGAAAUCUCACUGUGUGGGCCCACAGAUGUGAGCCUGUUCCACCUUGACUAAAGGUCAGAGAGUCUGACCUUAUUUUUACUCUUUCGAAGAAGUUGCUCAUAACAGGUGUGGCUACAAACAAGAUAGCCUGACCUAGAGUGUGGUUACUUGGGGUUUUGGACAUUAAGACGGGCCCAUAGAGGUGGCUCUGCUUCACCUUGACCAAAGGUCGAGAAUUUAAGCUUAUUCCUGCUCCUUCAUUUUAAAACAGGAGGUUUGACCCAGGGAGUGUCUGCCUACAGGAUACUUGGGCUAGGGUGUAUAUGUUACAUAUCCUGUCCAAAACAUCAGAAUGCUUAGCAUUGGAAAUAAUGGCUUGAUGUCUCAAGUACUGAAUCUAAUAAUUGUUCUGAUUGCUCUUUGUAUCGUGUUAAAGCAGUCUUUCGCCUUCUACUCCCUUUUUGGAUUGGGGUAUAUAAGCAUCUGGAAAGUAA